CCGGCCCAGCCAGGCUCGGCUCUGCCCUCCGCCUCCUCUCCCCUCUCGCCCGCCCUGCUUCCCGCCCUCUCCUCCCGCCGGGCCGGGGAGGGAGAGCGGCGCGGCCCGAGGUGUCGGCCUCCCCUCGCCUCCCGCUGGCCCGGCCCCGGGCUCCCCUCUGCCUCCCUCCCUUCCUCCCGCCCCCCUCUUCCUCUCCCGGCCCCCACCUCCCCGCGCUCCGCGUCUUCCUCCCGCAGCCCCGCUCCCGCCUCGGACUCGCUCUCCUCGACUUGUGCGCGGGGAUCUGUCCGUCGGGAUCGGCGGGACCCCGCCUCGCUGGGGCUCCAGGUGGCCGGCUCCCCAGUGGCCAGGGGAGUGCACAUGGGUGGGGGAUUUGUAAUUCAUUAAUCAGCACGAGGCACCCGGACCAGUUUCCACACCAGGACUUCGGGGGUGACUCAUCAAGAAUGCUCCAGUUCAACCGACGGAGAGACCCCGUUUGUGAAACGCUUCCCCAUAAAGACAUUUGGCUUCCUCCCGCCUGUAGGGUUCAGGUUGUUGGCUCUCCCCGGCGCUGGGGUAGGGGUGCUCCGCCUGUGGUGUGACCUCCCUCCCCUCCCUCCCCUCCCUUCCCUCGGGCCUGUGUUGGGACUCGCUGAGGCGGGAUUCCCCGGGGGACCCAGGAGCCUAGACCCCCCCUGGAGGGUCCUCCUGCGGCUGCAGAGGGCUGCUAGGAAGCGUGCAGGGAAACAGCUUCCACCUGGGGUCGUGCCGUCAUUCCAUCUGCACUGCCCGGAGCUCUACAAGCAGACCAGCAAUAAAACCAUUUGGUAAUGA